ensembl:ncRNA F55D10.7 ncRNA
UUUCUUUUCUUUUGGCCAACUGAAAACGGCGCGCAUGCGGCGCCCCUCGCCUGUCGACUCUUCUGCCCGCCUCUUCGUUUCGACAUCGAUUAUUCAUCUAUUGAGUUCCGCCCAUUUCUUCGUGUUUUUCUUGCUCU